CAUGGCUCAGGACGAACGCUGGCGGCGUGCUUAACACAUGCAAGUCGAACGAUGAAGCCCUUCGGGGUGGAUUAGUGGCGAACGGGUGAGUAACACGUGGGCAAUCUGCCCUUCACUCUGGGACAAGCCCUGGAAACGGGGUCUAAUACCGGAUAACACUCUGUCCCUCAUGGGGCGGGGUUAAAAGCUCCGGCGGUGAAGGAUGAGCCCGCGGCCUAUCAGCUUGUUGGUGGGGUAAUGGCCUACCAAGGCGACGACGGGUAGCCGGCCUGAGAGGGCGACCGGCCACACUGGGACUGAGACACGGCCCAGACUCCUACGGGAGGCAGCAGUGGGGAAUAUUGCACAAUGGGCGAAAGCCUGAUGCAGCGACGCCGCGUGAGGGAUGACGGCCUUCGGGUUGUAAACCUCUUUCAGCAGGGAAG
rnacentral:rRNA from 1 species